rnacentral:rRNA from 1 species
UACGUAGGGGGCGAGCGUUAUCCGGAUUCACUGGGUGUAAAGGGAGCGUAGACGGCCAUGCAAGCCAGGGGUGAAAGCCCGGGGCCCAACCCCGGGACUGCCCUUGGAACUGCAUGGCUGGGGUGCGGGAGGGGCAGGCGGAAUUCCUGGUGUAGCGGUGAAAUGCGUAGAUAUCAGGAGGAACACCGGCGGCGAAGGCGGCCUGCUGGACCGCGACUGACGUUGAGGCUCGAAAGCGUGGGGAGCGAACAGG